rnacentral:rRNA from 1 species
UUGUAACACCCGAAGUCGGUGAGGUAACCUAUUAGGAGCCAGCCGCCUAAGGUGGGAUAGAUGAUUGGGGUGAAGUCGUAACAAGGUAGCCGUAUCGGAAGGUGCGGCUGGAUCACCUCCUUUCUAAGGA